GACCCUCGACCUUAGUUGCCAGCAUUCAGUUGGGCACUCUAAGGUGACUGCCGGCUAAAAGUCGGAGGAAGGUGGGGAUGACGUCAAAUCAUCAUGCCCCUUAUGACCUGGGCUACACACGUGCUACAAUGGGCGGUACAAAGGGUCGCGAACCCGCGAGGGGGAGCCAAUCCCAAAAAGCCGCUCUCAGUUCGGAUUGCAGGCUGCAACUCGCCUGCAUGAAGCCGGAAUCGCUAGUAAUCGCGGAUCAGCAUGCCGCGGUCGAAUACGUUCCCGGGCCUU
rnacentral:rRNA from 1 species